rnacentral:rRNA from 1 species
AACGAACGCUGGCGGCAGGCCUAACACAUGCAAGUCGAACGAAGUCUUCGGACUUAGUGGCGGACGGGUGAGUAACACGUGGGAACGUGCCUUUAGGUUCGAAAUAACUCAGGGAAACUUGUGCUAAUACCGAAUGUGCCCUUCGGGGGAAAGAUUCAUCGCCUUUAGAGCGGCCCGCGUCUGAUUAGCUAGUUGGUGAGGUAAAGGCUCACCAAGGCUACGAACAGUAGCUGGUCUGAGAGGAUGACCAGCCACAUUGGGACUGAGACACGGCCCAAACUCCUACGGGAGGCAGCAGUGGGGAAUCUUGCGCAAUGGGCGAAAGCCUGACGCAGCCAUGCCGCGUGGAUGAUGAAGGUCUUAGGAUUGUAAAAUCCUUUCACCGGUGAAGAUAAUGACUGUAGCCGGAGAAGAAGCCCCGGCUAACUUCGUGCCAGCCGCCGCCGUAACAC